UUGACUGACAGUUACAGUCCAUUGGCAGCUGAUUCCAAGGCAGAAAAUGACAUGGCAGGAGGGCACAGGAAAAGCAGCUCAAGUCAUGUCAGCCAGGAAGCAGAGAGAGAAAGGAGGGGCUGGGGAGGCAGACGCACCUUUCCACUCCACGACCCAGUGACCAGUUUCUCCUGACCAGACCCAGCCUCCUAACAGCAAACCAGCUCCAUUGCAUCAGGAUUCACUCACCUUCCCCGAAGCCCCACCUCUGAGUGCAUGAGGUUCUGGGGAACAUUCUCUGUCCAAACCUUAAGAGACCUAGUCAGAGACAUAUUCUGUUUGGAUUCCCUUUCUUAUAUUUGUUGAUUCUAUCUAUCUGUCUAUUUUUGGUGAUACUGUAGGUUAACUCAGAGUCUUCACACGGAGCUACAUCUGCAACACUUUCACUUUUUCCUCUUGAGACAAGGUGUUGCUGAGUCGCCCAAGUGGAACUCAAACUUCCAGUCCCCCUGCCUCAGUCUCAGCCUCAGCCUGGGAUUAGUUAGGUAUCACCAUGCCAGACUCUAUCUAUCCCCAUGUGAUUCAGACAUGUGAUGCUAAAUGGAGGAAGCACUGCAGGGGCUCAGGGGCAUCAACAGUGAUAGUUCAGCCACGAAGAGUCCAAGGCAGAGACAUGGGCUCUGGAGGAAGACUGAGGACCAAGUAUCAGCAGCCAAGAUGGUGUGAGAAAAAUCACAGAGGCAGGAGGCAAACUGGAGGUGGAUUGUGAGACCCUGAAGGACAACACAUAACUCGCACCUCUAGUUUGCCUCCUGACCACAUUGCACAGGAAAAGUAGUACGGACUCUCUCUCUCAAGUUCGUAUUAGCCGGCUGAGCAGUUGCUGUCCACUGAAUGCUUACAACAGCUCUAUGAGGGAAGGAAUGUUAUUAUCCCCCAUUUCCGGAUCAGGUAACUGAGGCUUAGUUGUUAGUGAGGUCCCCCCAGCCAGUGACUGCAGCUGGGACUCAAAGCUGAGCCCCUGAGCUCUCUGAACUGGUUAUUCACUCUGUUGUUCUUUCAGACAAAUAGUUUUUUUUCUGCUUAAGGACGGUAAACUUGGGAGUUUGUCACAAAAGGAGUGAAUGGUGAAAAACGGUUAUUUCUGCCUCUCCUGUCCCUCUGCACUUGAUUAUGUUUGUCCCUUUUCACUGACUCGAGGGCCUUGGGCUGGGCAGUGACAGUAAAGAGGGAGCAUUGGAGGAUUUAAGAUCUAGAGUUGUGGUGUGUCUGGCCACAAUCAGUAUGCUAAUCGCUUAACAAUCCUCAAACAAUUUGACAGCAAUAUGUGCAGCGGGGUACACGCUUUCCAUUUCUACCCCGACAUGGCCAGCAGCAGAAAAGAAUCCGGUUCAUGGGCAGCAAGGGGCCCGGCAGAACCCCAGGUCCACACUGUCCCUGUCCGCACCCUUGUCUCUGGCUCCCUCGCCUGUCAUUUCUCCAGAGAAAAAAAGGGGCCCAGGCUCUGCACACCAGGAAAUCCACUGUCUCGAAGAAGGAGAAAGUGUGAAGACUUUUGAGGACAGGGUGCUGCGGCCAGGAUUUGAGGGAAGGGGCUGGAGGCUGAUAAAUGGGCAGGAAUAAUGAGUUGAAAAACUGGCUUGCUAGAAAAUGGCCAGAAAUCUGUGAGAGGGAGAAGGAUUCCUGUGGGAGAAUACGAUUUACCCCAGAGCCACACUCAAAUUACCUUUAUUGUAUUGUCUUUUGAAAUGUAGCAAGUAUACAUACCGGCUCAUUUUAAAUCAUUAGAAUUUCACAGCUGAAGUUCGAGAAAUCAUAAAUCAGAAUCCAUGCCUGAGUGAUCACUUAAGAAAGAAGAAAUAGGUCUUUUCCUGUAGUAUGGGAUUGAUAAUUUUCCCCUUUACUGUUUGAAAAGCUAUAUUGAAGGUAAGAAAAAAACCUUCACUAAUUUAUAGGGAAGCUGACAGUUUCUCCCAGUUUUUAGGGCUUACAUCUGCACCUCUGCACAGGCACGUCGGAGAGAUGCUUCAGUUUCAGGAAAGUCUCUUUUGGUUGUCAGCUCGAUUGAUGUUAAAAUAACAGAGCACUGUGUGGCCCAGAUAACUCUUCUUUUGUUAGGCAUGUAGAAAGAAGUUAACUUAGGAAAUGUCAUUUGCAAAAAUUAAAUAGCUCCAAAACUGUAAAGGGCAUUUGUCAAGAGAGAUUUGCCUAAAAACAGCCUGCCUAGGACUUUGGUGCCACUACCAAAUGGGUAACUUCACCCACGUGUUUUCCCCUCUUAUUUAUUGAAUGUUCCUUUGUCCUCUGGGACUGUCUGUCCCUGGCCAGAUAACAACGAGGGAGACACACAGGAACCUGAGAACAUGAGUGACAAAUUGUUGUCCUCUAUGUGCAAAAACUGCAACCCAAAAGUGAGACAGGAAUGAUUUGCGAGGUGAUGCAAUUGGUUUCAUCAGGUGAAGAGACUCUCAGCAAGAAGGCAGGACAUUUGGGGAAGAAUAAAGUUGCCUACCAGGAUAGAGGGCCUUGCAGCCUGACCCGGGCUGAGCCAAGUCCUCAGAGAGCGGGGAAGUGGGAGGCACCCAUACAAUUUGGAGAGGCACUCUCAUUUGCUUUUGGUCUAGAUACUCUCUUAAAGCAAUAUGAUUGAUAAUGCAGUGUAUUCAAGUACAAACACACCAUUUGUUUUCUUUUUGAUAAGAAUUGUGGAAGUAAGAAUUUAUGAGGAUUUCUGUGUUCACAGGCACAAACCAAAGACAGGCAGUACCUCUGUGUGUGGAGUUCAAUGUUUUAUGAGUCCUGUCAUUGAUACACCAAGUCUUCCCUUGUCUGUGAUUUUCCUUUCCAUGAUUGGAGUCAACCACAGUCUGACAAUAUCAAUAUUCAUCUUGACUUGAGAGAGACAGAGAGAGACUAUACUCAUGUAUUGUUAUAACUGUUCUAUUUUAUUAUUUGUUAUUAUUGUUAAUCUCUUCUUAUGGUUCAUUUAUAAAUUAAACUGCAUCAUAGGUAUUUCUUCAUAGGAAAAUAUGUAAGAUACAUGGUUUGGUCCUACACAUGGUUUCAGGCACCCACUGGGGUCCUAGAAAUAUAUCUCCCUCUGAUACUGUACUAAUAAAAAACAUUUGAUUAAUUAUGUUAGAGAAAAAGUGAGUUAUCUUUCUAUUUUCUCUACUGAAAGUCAUAAUACAAUACAAAAAAGUAUGAGUCACAACAAGGAUAAGGAUAAAGUAGACUAAAGAUGUGGCACCUAAUUAAUAAGAGUAUGGGUUACUUUCUUGUAUUUUAUGCUUUUGGUAGUGUCAAUGUUGUAAAAUUAAUGGUGUGUUGUGAAUAUAUGUUGGCAUCUAUUUUUCCUGUUUGUAAUUUUGUAUUACAUUCUUUUUCUUAGAGGGUCUUCAAAUUAAUCUGCUGUUCCAAAACAUUGUA